rnacentral:rRNA from 1 species
UUGAACUCGCUGUGAAGAUGCAGUGUACCCGCGGCAAGACGGAAAGACCCCGUGAACCUUUACUAUAGCUUGACACUGAACAUUGAGCCUUGAUGUGUAGGAUAGGUGGGAGGCUUUGAAGUGUGGACGCCAGUCUGCAUGGAGCCGGCCUUGAAAUACCACCCUUUAAUGUUUGAUGUUCUAACGUGGACCCGUGAUCCGGGUUGCGGACAGUGUCUGGUGGGUAGUUUGACUGGGGCGGUCUCCUCCUAAAGAGUAACGGAGGAGCACGAAGGUUGGCUAAUCCUGGUCGGACAUCAGGAGGUUAGUGCAAUGGCAUAAGCCAGCUUGACUGCGAGCGUGACGGCGCGAGCAGGUGCGAAAGCAGGUCAUAGUGAUCCGGUGGUUCUGAAUGGAAGGGCCAUCGCUCAACGGAUAAAAGGUACUCCGGGGAUAACAGGCUGAUACCGCCCAAGAGUUCAUAUCGACGGCGGUGUUUGGCACCUCGAUGUCGGCUCAUCACAUCCUGGGGCUGAAGUAGGUCCCAAGGGUAUGGCUGUUCGCCAUUUAAAGUGGUACGCGAGCUGGGUUUAGAACGUCGUGAGACAGUUCGGUCCCUAUCUGCCGUGGGCGCUGGAGAACUGAGGGGGGCUGCUCCUAGUACGAGAGGACCGGAGUGGACGCAUCACUGGUGUUCGGGUUGUCAUGCCAAUGGCACUGCCCGGUAGCUAAAUGCGGAAGAGAUAAGUGCUGAAAGCAUCUAAGCACGAAACUUGCCCCGAGAUGAGUUCUCCCUGACCCUUUAAGGGUCCUGAAGGAACGUUGAAGACGACGACGUUGAUAGGCCGGGUGUGUAAGCGCAGCGAUGCGUUGAGCUAACCGGUACUAAUGAACCGUGAGGCUUAACCUUACAACGCCGAAG